GCUAACGUUCAUUGCAAAUCUUCCAGUCGUUCACAUCAUUCCCAGUCUGUUUUCAUGACAGUGCCGUUUGGUAUUCGAACCUUAUGUUAACGCUCUAUAUUUCAUUCUGGUGACGUUUAUUUUUCUUGUGGUCACGUUAAAACUCGUUUCUGCAUCACCCUGCUGUAAUGGCUGAUUUUGGGUUUAAUGAGCAACAUCAGAAUGAGGUGAUAAAUUACAUGCGCUUUGCCCACUCUAAACGGGCACUGAGACUAAAGACAGUCGACUCCUGCUUCCAAGACCUGAAGGACAGUAGGCUCAUGGAGGAGACAUAUACGGUGGAUGAGGUAUCUGACAUGCUGGAUGGGCUGCAGGUACUGGUGCGUGGAGAAGUGGAGUUGGAACUCAUAAACACAGCUCACACUAAUGUGCUGCUGCUGCGACAACUCUUUUCACAGGCAGAGAAAUUCUACCUAAGACUGCAAACAGACAUUUCUGAGCUGGA